UACGGAGGGUGCAAGCGUUAUCCGGAUUCACUGGGUUUAAAGCGUGCGCAGGCGGUGAUGUAAGACCGAUGUGAAAUCCCCGGGCUUAACCUGGGAACUGCAUUGGUGACUGCAUCGCUCGAGUAUGGCAGAGGGGGGUAGAAUUCCACGUGUAGCAGUGAAAUGCGUAGAGAUGUGGAGGAAUACCGAUGGCGAAGGCAGCCCCCUGGGUCAAUACUGACGCUCAUGCACGAAAGCGUGGGGAGCAAACAGG
rnacentral:rRNA from 1 species